UACGUAGGGACCAAGCGUUGUUCGGAUUUACUGGGCGUAAAGGGCGCGUAGGCGGUUGGAUAAGUCUUGUGUGAAAUCUUCGGGCUCAACUCGAAGUCUGCACGAGAAACUAUCUGGCUUGAGUGUGGGAGAGGUGAGUGGAAUUCCUGGUGUAGCGGUGAAAUGCGUAGAUAUCAGGAGGAACACCUGUGGCGAAAGCGGCUCACUGGACCACAACUGACGCUGAGGCGCGAAAGCUAGGGGAGCAAACAGG
rnacentral:rRNA from 1 species